GCUCCGAUGGCCUAGUGGUUUGAGCGUCCGCCUCGGAUGUUGAAGGUCGUGGGUUCGAUCCCAGCUACAUAUCUGCGGCA